UACGUAGGGACCAAGCGUUGUCCGGAAUCAUUGGGCGUAAAGAGCGUGUAGGCGGCUUGUUAAGUCUUGUGUGAAAUCUCGGGGCUCAACCCCGAGCGGUCAUGAGAAACUGGCAGGCUAGAGUGCGGGAGAGGAGAGUGGAAUUCCUGGUGUAGCGGUGAAGUGCGCAGAUAUCAGGAAGAACACCCGUGGCGAAGGCGGCUCUCUGGAACGCAACUGACGCUGAGACGCGAAAGCGUGGGGAGCAAACAGG
rnacentral:rRNA from 1 species